rnacentral:rRNA from 1 species
UAGUGGCGGACGGGUGAGUAACGCGUGAGAAUCUAGCUUCAGAAUGGGGACAACAGAGGGAAACCGCUGCUAAUACCCGAUGUGCCGAAAGGUGAAAGAUUUAUCGUCUGAAGAUGAGCUCGCGUCCGAUUAGCUAGUUGGUAGGGUAAAAGCCUACCAAGGCGACGAUCGGUAGCUGGUCUGAGAGGAUGACCAGCCACACUGGGACUGAGACACGGCCCAGACUCCUACGGGAGGCAGCAGUGGGGAAUUUUCCGCAAUGGGCGAAAGCCUGACGGAGCAAGACCGCGUGAGGGAGGAAGGCUCUUGGGUUGAAACCUCUUUUCUCUGGGAAGAAGCUCUGACGGUACCAGAGGAAUCAGCAUCGGCUAACUCCGUGCCAGCAGCCGCGGUAAUACGGAGGAUGCAAGCGUUAUCCGGAAUUAUUGGGCGUAAAGCGUCCGUAGGUGGCAAUUCAAGUCUGCCGUUAAAACCAGUGGCUUAACUACGAGGGGCGGUGGAAACUGAAUAGCUAGAGUGUGGUAGGGGUAGAGGGAAUUCCCAGUGUAGCGGUGAAAUGCGUAGAGAUUGGGAAGAACACCGGUGGCGAAAGCGCUCUGCUGGACCACAACUGACACUCACAGGACGAAAGCUAGGGGAGCGAAAGGGAUUAGAUACCCCUGUAGUCCU